rnacentral:rRNA from 1 species
UACGGGGGGAGCAAGCGUUGUUCGGAUUUACUGGGCGUAAAGGGCGCGUAGGCGGCACCGCAAGUCGACUGUGAAAUCUCCGGGCUUAACUCGGAAAGGUCAGCCGAUACUGCGGGGCUAGAGUGCAGAAGGGGCAACUGGAAUUCUCGGUGUAGCGGCGAAAUGCGUAGAUAUCGAGAGGAACACCUGCGGCGAAGGCGGGUUGCUGGGCUGACACUGACGCUGAUGCGCGAAAGCUAGGGGAGCGAACGGG